rnacentral:lncRNA from 1 species
UAAGCAGUAAUAUCAAUCCUCGAAGGAUUUUACAUAUCGUCACAAGGCCUCAAACAUGGCAUCAAACCCAGUAAUAUCAAUGAAGUAUGUGUAUCAAUCACCAGUAUAGUAUAAACAUCACACGUGAUGGACCAAGUCACAAUACCCAAGAGUAUCCGACCCCACACUUGCCAUGGAGUGCGUGUUACGCCUCAAUAUAGCGUUACAAUGUGAAAGUCCGGGGUUUCAAACCCUCAGAACAAUAUUUACAUCUAUUACUUACCUCAAGACGGCCAAAAGUCUACUCCGCGAUGCCCUUUCCUUUCGAAUCGACCUCCUCGCGCGUCGAAUCUUGCCAAAACCACAAGGAAUAUAUUACAAUAGGAUAAGUGAAUAUAACCCAAACAAAAAGACUCGAAAAAUAUCGAAAAUCACGAAAUUUGCAAAACCCGAGCCCCGGGCCCACUUCUCAAAAAAUUACGAAAGUCACAUCACCGGAUUCCUCGUCUCUCCAUGAGUCCGUACAUAUAAAAUUUACCAAAAUCGGAGUUCAUUUGACCCCUCAAAUCACCAAAUCUUAUUUUCAAAUCCCUAAGCCUAAAUCCUCAUUUUUUCUACAAUUUUCAUGCUCAAAUCCAUACAUAAUUGAUGUACUUAACUCAAAAUAGGUGGGGAUAACUUACCUUCACAUUGAUGAUGAAAAUCCCCUCUUGAAGCUCCCCAAAAAUCGUCCAUGCUUUGAAGAAAUGAAGAAAAGUGAGCUAAAUCCGUGUAUAAAAGAAUCUGUCUGUGCUUCGUCGAGUUGUACCUUGCACUUGUGCUAUAUAGUUGUACAUCCUAUUAAAAUUGUUCCUUGUCAGACACCUUGUGUUUAAACAC